rnacentral:tRNA from 1 species
UGGCUCACUUGGUAGAGCUCAUGUUUAUCAUACAUGAGGACUUGGGUUCAAACCCCUG